rnacentral:rRNA from 1 species
GAUGAACGCUGACAGAAUGCUUAACACAUGCAAGUCAACUUGAAUUUGGGUUUUUAACUUAGGUUUGGGUGGCGGACGGGUGAGUAACGCGUAAAGAACUUGCCUCACAGCUAGGGACAACAUUUGGAAACGAAUGCUAAUACCUAAUAUUAUGAUAAUAGGGCAUCCUAUAAUUAUGAAAGCUAUAAGCGCUGUGAGAGAGCUUUGCAUCCCAUUAGCUAGUUGGAGAGGUAACGGCUCACCAAGGCGAUGAUGGGUAGCCGGCCUGAGAGGGUGAUCGGCCACAAGGGGACUGAGACACGGCCCUUACUCCUACGGGAGGCAGCAGUGGGGAAUAUUGGACAAUGGACCGAGAGUCUGAUCCAGCAAUUCUGUGUGCACGAUGAAGUUUUUCGGAAUGUAAAGUGCUUUCAGUUGGGAAGAAACAAAUGACGGUACCAACAGAAGAAGUGACGGCUAAAUACGUG